rnacentral:rRNA from 1 species
UGCGUAGGCGGACUAAUAAGUCAGUGGUGAAACCUUUCGGCUCAACCGAGAAACUGCCAUUGAUACUGUUAGUCUUGAGUUCGGUUGAGGUAGGCGGAAUGUGUAAUGUAGCGGUGAAAUGCUUAGAUAUUACACAGAACACCAAUUGCGUAGGCAGCUUACUAGACCGACACUGACGCUGAGGCACGAAAGCGUGGGGAGCGAACAGGAUUAGAUACCCUGGUAGUCC